UCUCCACUUGUUCCUAACCCACUGAGAAAUCGGCUCAUUAUUGACUCAGAGGGAUGAACGCCAGAUCCUGACUCACCGGUAACCACUUCCUGCAGAAAUCCUCCAGCCCUGUUAGAAAUGCCUCAGCCAGGGGGACUCAUCUCCUCAAACCUGGGGGACCGAGACCUAUGAGAGGUCACAGCAUGAGCCAGGACAUCGGAGGUACCCAGACAUUGUUAUGAAACUCCGCAUGUGCCCCUGGUGGACGCUGCUGGACCCAGCAUGCACACUUCUCGGCUAAGAGUCACCCUGGAUGAACCACCAUUGCCAGCGGGGAGCAUGUUGCAGCUUUCCCACGCAGUGGAUGAGAACGAAGGUUACGACCAUUGUGUGGGAGGCGUCUGUGUAGCAAUUGCUGGAAUCACUUGUGGCAUUGUAGAAAGACUGAGCGUGGGAAAGAAGACGCAUUCUGAAGUCACCCCGAUUUAUGUUAAAUUAUCACCUUGACUACUGCUAUAGAACGAAUGUUUAUGUCCCCCACCCAAAUUCGUAUGCUAAGACCUAAUAGCCAAUAAGAUAGUAUUAAUAGAUGGGGCCUUUGGGAGGUGAGUGGCUCAUGAGGGCAGAGUCCUCAAAACCAGAUAAGUGCCCGAAUAAAAGGGGCCCCAGAGAGAUCCCUUGCACCGUCUACCAUGUGAAGUGUAGAACACAGCGAGAAGGCCACCUAUGAGCCAGAACGUGGGCCCUCACCAGAACCCAGUUGUGCUGGCACCCUGAUCCUGGACUUCCAGCCUCCAAAAUGACGACAAAGAAGUUUGUUUUUCCUGAGCCAUCCACUUCAAAGUAUUCUGUCAUAGCUCCCCAAAUAGACUAAGACAUCUACUUAACCUUGGUCAAACGUUUAACCUUGGAGUCCACGCCUCUGAAAUGGUGACAAUAACACUGUGUAUUUCCUACUUUAUGAUCAGGAUUAAUAAAUAAUGCAGAGGAUAAAGCAAGCAAACAAAAAAACUUCCAGAAGAAUCACAGAGUUUUAGACCUAGAAAAAAACUGAAAAAUCAUCCAUUCCACUCUCCUCAUUUUACAGAUGAGGGCAUCGAGCCUCAGAGAAAUGAAACUUGCCCAAGACCACACAGCAAGUGAGUGGGGGACUCAUGACCCAAGACACUUUUUCCAGGCUUCCUUCUACCACAUCAUGCUGCAGAAAACACAGCAGAUGGGAAGAGACGAGUAUUGAAUGCCCAGGUUUCCUGUUUGGAAAAGCCCGAGGAUCUGUGCACACUCUGGGCUACUCUUGCCCAGCUCCUGACUGAGGCACUGGACCUGGCCCGAUGCUGCUCUCUGCUGCUGCCCAGCUCUUCUGCUCCACCGGCAACACUGUACCCAGUUAAUCAUUAGGGCCCUUGUCUCUGUACAAUUGCUCUGUACAACUCGAUAAAAUAAUCCAUGCUAACAAAAGUCUAGAAUGGAAGGUGCCUGCUAUGGUUUGAAUGUUUGUCCCCUCCCAAAUUCAUGAUGAAAUUUAAGCCGUAUUAGAAAGUGGGACUUUUGAGAGGUGAUAAGGCCAUGCAGGGCCCCCCUCAUGGGUGGGAUUGGUGCUGGUAUAAAAGGGUGAGCUUAGCCCCCUGCCUCUCUCACCUCCUCACCUUCUGCCAUGUGAUGAUGCAGCAAGAAGGCUCUCGCCAGAUGUCGGCACCUUACUAUUGGCCUUCCCAACUUUCGGGACUAUGAGCCAAUACAUUUCUGCUUAUUGUAAAUUACCUAGUUUCAGCUAUUCUGUCAUAGCAGCACACAACAGACUAAGACGCUCUUCAACUCACUCCUCACAAUCCUGUGUUGUUCUAGGAAAAACUGUGUAAUUUAACAUUGCCUCUUUAGAGACAACGUCCCUCCUCUAUCUCUCAGAAAGAGGCUUUCUCAGUAAAGAGGAGGAGGAUGUUGGGUGGGGGAGAGGGUUGGGAGUACUUUGGUUUUUCCCACCGGUAUGGCCAUGAGAUCCCUCUGUUUGCAGCACCUCGGCAUCUGCCUGCCUACUCCUGAGUUGGGCCCUGUGGUCAUGAAUUCUUCUGUCAAAUAACUAUUCCUAAAAACAAGCAUGCAUGACUAACCAUGAGACAAUUGCAGUGAUGCAAGUGUAUGUGACUUAUCUCAUCUACCCAGUGUGACAGCUUGACACUCAAGGGGGAGAUUUUCACCAUCGAUUCCCAGAACAAAGAAUUUAGAGUAAUGCUGGAGGCUGAGGCAGGAGAAUGGCGUGAACCCGGGAGGCAGAGCUUGCCAUGAGCUGAGAUAGCGCCACUGCACUCCAGCCUGGGCGACUGAGGGAGACUCCAUCCCCCCCAAAAAAAAGAAUUUAGAGUAAUGAACAUUUAUGUAUGGGUGGCCCUGUGAUGUCUCUGAUAACAUCCCUUGUUUGGCCAAAUUCUCGGACUCUAAAAGACAGUAUUGGCUCUGCAGGCUUUCUGGGCUCAGCGAACCUGCAAUACCAAAGUUCCACAUUUUGGGGAGUACUACCUCAUCUGUAGAGACGUAUUUUAAAGAAUUGGCUCGUGGGAUUGUGGGGCCUGGAAAUCUGAAAUCUGCAGAGAAAGCCAGCAGGCUGGAAAUUCAGCUAUAAUGUGACAGGCAAGCUAUUUUACAAGGCAAUAAAGAAAAUAAUCAUGCUCCCCAGCGAGUAAACUGCAAGGCCAAAAGGUGAGUUGUUUAUAUCAGAGACAGAACCAUAUUACCACAUUGAAAAACAGUAGGCAUGGCUUGUUAUUGCUGCUACAAGUAAAAAUGGCUAUAGAACAGAACAAGAGAAACUGGUUCCCAGCCUCCUUAAAAGCACUUAUUUUUAGAAUAAUGACAAAACUGUCUGUGUUUGCAUAAGGAGCAAAAAUGAUUGAUAGACGGCCUGAAGGGAGCCAAGUCUUACCCCCAAAUUAGGACCGCAGGGACAAGGAGGUGCUGAAAGGGUCAGGAGCAGAAAGAUCUCCUGGGGUGGAUGAAUGGCAGAAAAAUCUAACAGUAGGUUAACUUGAUUUGAGGGUCCCAUCUUCUGAACAUGCUGAACACACCAUAUCUUAAAUUCAAAUUAGCCUGUCUAUGGAAAACGAAAAUGAUAUUAUGAGUCCUGCCUUGUCAUUAUGGUGGUUUAUGGGAAGCCCAGAUGGCUACAUAUGGCCACCAGACGGGAGUUGGCCUUCAAAACAAAAACAAAAUAAACCAAAAAGCCCUCACCCUCAAAUAAAGCCAGAAGAACUCACCUGCUGAGAGGCACCAUGCAUUUCAGCUGGUAAUAGCUGGUGACAAGUGAGCCCAGGGGUAAGACGGGGAAGGAGCUAGAGGAGUGUGUCAUCAGAGCUGUUUUCAUCUCCCCCUGGUGGGUGGCACAGGGCUGUUUGUUGGCUGUGGGUUCACGUGUCUGGGAUAUUGCAGGAAGUGGCGAGGAAAGAAGAAUGAAGACAAAGAAUAUGGAGUUUCCAUUGAUUUAGCCAAGUCCAUAACAGAAGAAAAGUGCCUUCCUUCGGAACUUCCAAUACAAUGUGUGAGAAUGGACCUGUUACAACUUGUAUUACUCGCAGGGUUCCCCCACUACCAAGAAUAGGGGUGGCCUUAGAAGGCACUCUGAAGCAAGAAUCAGCAAGUGACUGAAUCUAUGAGACUCGUAUUGAUCAGCCUCAAAAGAAAUGAGUCCUACCUUCUCGGUCUCUUAAGAAAUUCAUUCUCUUGAAAAGCAAUUCAAAAAGAGCUUUCCCUAAUACACAUUAGAUAAACAAUGAGAUAUCCUCCUAGCUUUCUCUUGGGAAACUUUCACUUUAUAUCUUUUCAAUUUAUUCUCAUCUUUUUUUUUGUUCCUUCCUUCCCUACUUUUAGGCUUUGUCGUUCAAAAGCUAGCUCGUAGAAUUUUUUUAAAUCUUUGUAUUCAUAUAUCCCUAACUAGAGCAUGAUCUUUUUCUGGCUGGUGGAUCCUCCCCAGAAUGUUUGCAUGUAUUAGGGCUCCAGUGAAUAGGUGUUGGUCAUGAGGAAGGAUGACCAGCUAAGGGAGCUAAUGGCUUAGACAGACACUGUAGAAUUGCAAGGAAUAGAGAUGUGCUCAAGAUACCUUGGUUGGCGAGGUUUAUUGUUGCAGAAACACACUGGGUGGUAGCCAGUCAACCAAGACGGCGGCCAUCAAUUCCUUACCUUUCUUUGUGUACAUGCUGCACCCCAUGACCAAAGGUAGGGCCUUUUUUCUCCUCCCUUGUAUUUCGACUGGCCUCAUACCUUGCUUUCAACAGUGAAAUGUAACAGUGGUGAAGUUGGACUUGUUCCAAGCCUAGACUUUAAGCCUUCUGUUUCCUACUUCUUAGAAGCCAGUCACCAUGCAAGAAGCCUGCCUACCCAGUAACCAGCUGUGAGAAGUCCAAGCUGGCUACACAAAGGGGGGGACACUGAGGUGCCAGACAGGUGGGUAAGGCCUGCCUGAACCUUCCAGCUCUGCCCAACACUCAGCUGAAUGCAGUGAAUCAGCCAGCCCAGCUGAGAACACAGUGAGCAGAGGUUCUGAUCCUGCCUGGAUUCCAGACCCACAGAAUCCAGAGAAAUCAUGUGACUUUAAGCCACUAACUUUUGCAAUAGAUUAAUGUACAACAAUAGAUAAAACACACAGAAAAGUCAAGAAAAUGUUUUUGAAGAAAAGUGAUCUCCGUAGGUUAACUGCAGUUGGUUAAUACUAAUUUAUUGUAUAUUUCAAAAUAGCUAGAAGAUAAUAAUUAGAAUGUUCCUAGCAUAAAGAAAAGACAAUUUAAGGUGAUGGAUAUGCCAAUUACACUGAUUUGAUCUUUACACAUUAUAUGAAUGUAUUCAAUUAUCACAUGUACCCUGAAAAUAUGUACAUCUAUUAUGUGUAAUAAAAAUAAAUCAAAACUUUUUAAAGAAUAAAAAGCGGUCGCACAUCUAAACAGGGC
rnacentral:lncRNA from 10 species